UCAAGCUACGAAGGGCAUAUGGUGGAUGCCUUGGCGCCAUGAGCCGAUGAAGGACGCGAUAAGCUGCGAUAAGCCGCGGGGAACUGCACAUAAGUAUCGAUCCGCGGAUUUCCGAAUGGGGAAACCCGGCAGCCGUAAUGGGCUGUCACCCGAAAGGGAGGGAACCCGGUGAACUGAAACAUCUAAGUAGCCGGAGGAAGAGAAAUCAAACGAGAUGCCCACAGUAGCGGCGAGCGAAGAGGGCAUAGCCCAAACCGGAGGCCUUCGGGCCUGCGGGGUUGCGGACCGGCGUAAACCGACGAGUUGCUAGUAGAAUUACCUGGAAAGGUAAGCGAGAGAGGGUAAAAGCCCCGUAUACGAAAGCGACGAGGAGGCGGCCGGAAUCCAGAGUACCACGGAGCACGAGGAAUUCUGUGGGAAACCGGGGGGACCACCCUCCAAGGCUAAACACUCCAUGGCGACCGAUAGCGCAUAGUACCAUGAGGGAAAGGUGAAAAGAACCCCGGGAGGGGAGUGAAAGAGAACCUGAAACCGUAUGUCUACAAGCAGUCGGAGCGAAAGCGACGGCGUGCCUAUUGAAGAAUGAGCCAACGAGUUGCGUGUGCUGGCGAGGUUAAGCAGAAGAUGCGGAGCCGUAGGGAAACCGAGUCUGAACAGGGCGUCAAGUCAGUAUACGCAGACCCGAAACUGCAGUGAUCUACGCAGGGCCAGGUUGAAACGCAGGUAAAAUUGCGCGGAGGACCGAACCGGGACAUGUUGAAAAAUGUUCGGAUGAGCUGUGCGUAGGGGUGAAAUUCCAAUCGAACGCAGAGAUAGCUGGUUCUCCUCGAAAUAGCUUUAGGGCUAGCCUCAGGCAGUAAGCGCAGGCGGUAGAGCACUGAUCGGGAUAGGGACUGUAAUGGUUACCGAACCCUGUCAAACUCCGAAUGGCAGCGCUGCAGAGCCUGGGAGUCAGACUACGAGUGAUAAGAUCCGUGGUCAAAAGGGAAACAGCCCAGACCAUCAGCUAAGGUCCCCAAUGCCGUACUAAGUGGAAAAGGAUGUGGGGUUUCAUAAACAACCAGGAUGUUGGCUCAGAAGCAGCCACCAUUUAAAGAGUGCGUAAUAGCUCACUGGUCGAGAGACCCUGCGCCGAAGAUUCCCGGGGCUAAAGUACGGAACCGAAGCUAUGGAUGCAUGCUUGGCAUGCGUGGUAGAGGAGCGUUCCCGUCGGGUUGAAGUCGUCCUGUAAGGGACGGUGGACGGACGGGAAGUGAGAAUGUUGGCAUGAGUAGCGAAAAGAACGGUGAGAAUCCGUUCCACCGAAAACACAAGGAUUCCUGAGCAACGAUCGUCGUCUCAGGGUAAGUCGGGACCUAAUCCGAGGCAUGGAGCGUAGGAGAUGGACAUCCGGUUGAAAUUCCGGAACCGGCAGGAAUCGUCAAGAGCAACGGAGUGACACAGGAAGGCAGGCGCGCAUGAGAUUGGAAGUUCAUGUGCAAGCGUGCGACGCGCGGGACAGGCAAACCCGUCCCGCACAAGCGCCAGGCGUGACGCGGAGGGAACCGCAAGGGACCCGAAGGCGCCGGACCUACACUGUCGAGAAAAGCUUCUAGCAAGAGACCUGCCGCCCGUACCGUAAACCGACACAGGUGUGUGGGGAGAGAAUCCUAAGGUGCGCGGGAGAACCCUCGUUAAGGAACUCGGCAAAAUGUACCCGUAACUUCGGGAUAAGGGUAGCCAUCUGGUGUGAAGGGACUUGCUCCCGGAGCGCCGGAAGGCCGCAGAGAAGAGGCCCAAGCGACUGUUUACCAAAAACUUAGGUGCCUGCCAAAGCGAAAGCUGACGUAUAGGUGCUGACACCUGCCCAGUGCCGGAAGGUUAAGGAAGGAGGUCCGGGUUCGACCCAAAGCCUUCGACCGAAGCCCCGGUGAACGGCGGCCGUAACUAUAACGGUCCUAAGGUAGCGAAAUUCCUUGUCGGGUAAG
rnacentral:rRNA from 1 species